ACCCAGUUGACAAGUCCGAAAUGGGACGAAACGCGCGUGUCCUGGAU
rnacentral:hammerhead_ribozyme from 1 species